CUGAAGUUUGCGUCCCCAAUAAACGGCGGAGGCUCCCCCACCGCGCAGAUAAUGAAUCAAAAAAAAGCAUUUUUUUCAGCGCCAACGAAAUCCUUCAUUGGCUCAAAAACUUAUUCUCUGACAUUGUGGCGUUUCUAUAUAAAUUUAAUACACAAUUUCUAUUGGAUCCUCUCUAUGAUUGUUUGAUUCGAUUGGUUAACAUUACGCAUUUGUGCAUUGGCGAUUCGUUGGCCGCCUGCUGGGGGCUAAUUUGGGGAGCUUCGCCGUUCGAUUACGAGAAAAACUCCUCUCGUAUUGAAUUUGGCGCGCUUUUAAUCCAAACGUACAGUUCGUUGCGCAAAAUGGACGACCUCGUGUCGGCCAUGAUUCCAGAACCUUCAUUGGUUCCUGACGGUUUAUGCCUUUCUCCUUUUCUCCUUUCUCACUAUGGAACUUGCGUAUCUUGCCUGAACCCCGCCCAGGCCCACGCGCUUUGGGACUUUUUUAACAAUAAAUUUAGUGACUAUAAUAACGGAUCUGCUCUUCUUUUAUGUGUGCUCUUCUCAACAUUUGUU